rnacentral:rRNA from 1 species
GAUGAACGCUGGCGGCGUGCCUAAUACAUGCAAGUCGAGCGAACGGACGAGAAGCUUGCCUCUCUGAUGUUAGCGGCGGACGGGUGAGUAACACGUGGAUAACCUACCUAUAAGACUGGGAUAACUUCGGGAAACCGGAGCUAAUACCGGAUAAUAUUUUGAACCGCAUGGUUCAAAAGUGAAAGACGGUCUUGCUGUCACUUAUAGAUGGAUCCGCGCUGCAUUAGCUAGUUGGUAAGGUAACGGCUUACCAAGGCAACGAUGCAUAGCCGACCUGAGAGGGUGAUCGGCCACACUGGAACUGAGACACGGUCCAGACUCCUACGGGAGGCAGCAGUAGGGAAUCUUCCGCAAUGGGCGAAAGCCUGACGGAGCAACGCCGCGUGAGUGAUGAAGGUCUUCGGAUCGUAAAACUCUGUUAUUAGGGAAGAACAUAUGUGUAAGUAACUGUGCACAUCUUGACGGUACCUAAUCAGAAAGCCACGGCUAACUACGUGCCAGCAGCCGCGGUAAUACGUAGGUGGCAAGCGUUAUCCGGAAUUAUUGGGCGUAAAGCGCGCGUAGGCGGUUUUUUAAGUCUGAUGUGAAAGCCCACGGCUCAACCGUGGAGGGUCAUUGGAAACUGGAAAACUUGAGUGCAGAAGAGGAAAGUGGAAUUCCAUGUGUAGCGGUGAAAUGCGCAGAGAUAUGGAGGAACACCAGUGGCGAAGGCGACUUUCUGGUCUGUAACUGACGCUGAUGUGCGAAAGCGUGGGGAUCAAACAGGAUUAGAUACCCUGGUAGUCCAUGCCGUAAACGGUGGGCGCUAGGUGUAGGGGGCUUCCACGUCUUCUGUGCCGUAGCUAACGCAUUAAGCGCCCCGCCUGGGGAGUACGGCCGCAAGGCUAAAACUCAAAGGAAUUGACGGGGGCCCGCACAAGCGGCGGAGCAUGUGGAUUAAUUCGAUGCAACGCGAAGAACCUUACCUGGGCUUGACAUAUACAAGACAGGCGUAGAGAUACGUCCUCCCUUGUGGUUUGUAUACAGGUGGUGCAUGGUUGUCGUCAGCUCGUGUCGUGAGAUGUUGGGUUAAGUCCCGCAACGAGCGCAACCCUUGUCUUAUGUUGCCAGCAUUUGGUUGGGGACUCAUGAGAGACUGCCGGGGUCAACUCGGAGGAAGGUGGGGAUGACGUCAAAUCAUCAUGCCCCUUAUGUCCAGGGCUUCACACAUGCUACAAUGGUCGGUACAACGCGCAGCGACACUGUGAGGUGGAGCGAAUCGCUGAAAGCCGGCCUUAGUUCGGAUUGGGGUCUGCAACUCGACCCCAUGAAGUCGGAGUCGCUAGUAAUCGCAGAUCAGCAACGCUGCGGUGAAUACGUUCCCGGGUC